UAGGGAAUCUUCCGCAAUGGGCGAAAGCUUGACGGAGCAACGCCGCGUGAGUGAUGAAGGUCUUCGGAUCGUAAAACUCUGUUAUUAGGGAAGAACAAAUGUGUAAGUAACUAUGCACGUCUUGACGGUACCUAAUCAGAAAGCCACGGCUAACUACGUGCCAGCAGCCGCGGUAAUACGUAGGUGGCAAGCGUUAUCCGGAAUUAUUGGGCGUAAAGCGCGCGUAGGCGGUUUUUUAAGUCUGAUGUGAAAGCCCACGGCUCAACCGUGGAGGGUCAUUGGAAACUGGAAAACUUGAGUGCAGAAGAGGAAAGUGGAAUUCCAUGUGUAGCGGUGAAAUGCGCAGGGAGAUGGAGGAACACCAGUGGCGAAGGCGACUUUCUGGUCUGUAACUGACGCUGAUGUGCGAAAGCGUGGGGAUCAAACAGG
rnacentral:rRNA from 1 species